rnacentral:lncRNA from 1 species
AUGAAACCUCCCUCACGCCCUCUAGCAUUCUGCAAAUCUACUGAAAGACCAGCAGUACCUCAUGAGGAGCUAACUGGGAAAUGUCAACUGGACAUAGCAGUGCUAAAGUCAAAAGUCAGCAUCUUGCAAAGGGCUAAGGCCUCCCUGCCACAAGCUGUGCACAUGACCUUACACAAGGGUCACAGCUAGUGAGCUGAAGCAUGUUGCAAGUGAAAUUUCAAUGGGAUAUCUGCUCACUACUGGAAUUAUACUCCACGUGGCUAAGAAAUUUAAGGUAAGUAUUGUAGCCAAGAAUCAAAAUUCUUCACACCAUGAAAGU